rnacentral:lncRNA from 1 species
UAGACCAAAUAAAUCAAUAUCUUCUCCUCUCUGAAGUCUCUUUGAUUUCUCUUCAGUGUAUUACUUACCAAGUUAAACUCAUUUCCCUCCACACCAGAGUGAUGAGGUUGCAGAGAUGGAGUACAGCAGCAUUUAUAUAGAAACGACUGAAUGGUGAAUUACAACAUUCAAGACCAUAAACUGUCCUCGGCAGAAACCUGUAUUUGUCCACUGUAAAAGAAUCUUAUCAAAAUUACUGCAGAAGUGUGACUUCUCAGCCUCUAUGAAGAAAACAUGACAUUUUUGAUGAUUAAGGAUGGUCACAGGCAGAGAUGCUUUAAAGUGUUAGUUGGCCUGAAGCACAUUCCUGUCACAGUGCCAUCUCCUUGGAGUACUUAUUGCUUUGUGGAUCCAGUCACAUGUGUGGAUACUCCUGACUCCAAAUUUGUUUUCUCCCAUCAAAACCUUCAAAUUUCUGUCUUGGGAAACCAAAAGUGUUGGUCAAGGUGCUAAAAUGUCAGCCGGGAGCACCUCAUUCUCUAUUUGCUGAAAAUGCUGAAAUGGACUCCUCACCGUGCGGGUCUCCACAGCAGAAACAUCUGGGGCAAAUGCUGGUCCCUGGCAGAAGCUUGACUCAUAAAGCAUCACAAGGUUUGUAAGCAGCCUGGGCAAUUCAUCUCAGAUCUGCAUCUGAAAAACAAAGAAGCCCAUGACUGGAGAAGAGAAAGGGCAAGACUGAGAUCUCACAACCAGCAGCUCCAAGUUGCAGGAACCUAAACUUUCAGGUGUAGCUCUCCACUCUUCUUCAGCACCAGGCCCUGAUGCUAUUGGCUGAUGAAAGAGAGGACAAACCAAAAUGUGUAAGCCAGAUCAGAUGGGAAUGAAAAUGCUUUAUGUAAUCUAACUUUGUAUUUCUAAUAUGUAGGGAGACAGAAGAGGAAGCAUGCUUCUUCAGAUGGCCUGAAAGUUUCCAGAGAUGCUCAGGCCUAAGCCAGCUGCAUCACUGAGCACUGAUCUUUGCCCUCUGGUAUUGGUUUCUAUACAUAUAAACAGAACGAAGGCUCAGAUACAUCUUUACAUCCCCCUGUCUCUACCACCUCAGUAACUCCAUGAAACAGAAAAGUAACCCUAUCAUCCCUGCUCCAGGAUAGUCACUGAUAAGCCACAUAACAAGUCUGCAAAUCAAAUUUAAAAUUCUCAUGUUAUUCUAGUUUUAAUUACUUACCAGCAAAAAAGGUAUUAAAAAUUUGCUCCCA